rnacentral:rRNA from 1 species
GUGGCGAACGGGUGAGUAACACGUAACCAACCUGCCCUCAAGUGGGAGAAAACCCAGGGAAACUUGGGCUAAUCUUCCAUAACGUGAUCUCGACGCAUGUCGGGAUCAUUAAAGAUUCAUCGCUUGGGGAGGGGGUUGCGUCUGAUUAGCUAGUUGGCGGGGUAACAGCCCACCAAGGCUUCGAUCAGUAGCUGGUCUGAGAGGAUGAUCAGCCACACUGGGACUGAGAUACGGCCCAGACUCCUACGGGAGGCAGCAGUGAGGAAUAUUGCGCAAUGGACGAAAGCCUGACGCAGCAACGCCGCGUGUAGGACGAAAUCCUUCGGGAUGUAAACUACUGUUAGAGGAGAAGAAACCCCUGUUACGCAGGGAGUGACGGUAUCCUCAGAGAAAGCCCCGGCUAACUCUGUGCCAGCAGCCGCGGUAAUACAGGGGGGGCGAGCGUUGUCCGGAAUUACUGGGUGUAAAGGGUGCGUAGGCGGGUUGGCAAGUCCGUGGUGAAAUCCUGCAGCUUAACUGCAGACGGUCCAUGGAUACUGCUGAUCUUGAGUGCGAGAGAGAAGAGUGGAAUUCCCAGUGUAGCGGUGAAAUGCGUAGAGAUUGGGAAGAACACCAGUAGCGAAGGCGGCUCUUUGGCUCGUUACUGACGCUGAGGCACGAAAGCGUGGGGAGCAAACAGGAUUAGAUACCCUGGUAGUCCACGCCCUAAACGAUGAGGACUAGGUGUCGGGUCGCAAGACUCGGUGCCGCAGCUAACGCAUUAAGUCCUCCACCUGGGGAAUACGGCCGCAAGGUUGAAACUCAAAGGAAUUGACGGGGGCCCGCACAAGCAGUGGAGCAUGUGGUUUAAUUCGACGCAACGCGAAGAACCUUACCUGGGCUCGAAAUGUUAGUGCCAUCCCAUGAAAGUGGGCUUCUCGCAAGAGACGCUAAUAUAGGUGCUGCAUGGCUGUCGUCAGCUCGUGUCGUG